UGGAGUGUUUCCCAUGUGGUAUUGGUGCGCUGGAUAUCCCUUCACUGGUAGCCUGGUAACAUACACUCCCAGGUCUUCCUCUGCCUCUGUGGUGGAUAGUGGAGUGUUUCCCAUGUGGUAUUGGUAUGCUGGAUAUCCCUUCACUGGUAGCCUGGUAACAUACACUCCCAGGUCUUCCUCUGCCUCUGUGGUGGAUAGUGGAGUGUUUCCCAUGUGGUAUUGGUGUGCUGGAUAUCCCUUCACUGGUAGCCUGGUAAUAUACACUCCCAGGUCUUCCUCUGCCUCUGUGGUGGAUAGUGGAGUGUUUCCCAUGUGGUAUUGGUGUGCUGGAUAUCCCUUCACUGGUAGCCUGGUAACAUACACUCCCAGGUCUUCCUCUGCCUCUGUGGUGGAUAGUGGAGUGUUUCCCAUGUGGUAUUGGUGUGCUGGAUUUCCCCUCUCAAGAUUCAGGACUUUACAUUUCCUUCAUUGAAUUGUAGUAGCCACUUUUUGUUCCAUUCCUGUAGCUUGGUGAGGUCUUCUUGUAGGAUAUCCACAGUCAAGGGGUUGAUACCAGGAUCCACAUUCAGUUAACAUUGGCGCCAGAUUCAGGUCCCAUUGAGUACCAGGAUCCACAUUCAGUUAAUAUUGGCACCAGAUUCAGGUCCCAUUGAGUACCAGGAUCCACAUUCAGUUAAUAUUGG